AUACGGAGGGGGCUAGCGUUGUUCGGAUUUACUGGGCGUAAAGCGCGCGUAGGCGGGCUGGUUAGUUGGGGGUGAAAUCCCAGGGCUUAACCCUGGAACUGCCCUCAAUACUGCCAGUCUUGAGUUCGAGAGAGGUAAGUGGAAUUCCUAGUGGAGAGGUGAAAUUCGUAGAUAUUAGGAAGAACACCAGUGGCGAAGGCGGCUUACUGGCUCGAUACUGACGCUGAGGCGCGAAAGCGUGGGGAGCAAACAGGAUUAGAAACCCCAGUAGUCC
rnacentral:rRNA from 1 species